AAAACACAUGUGAAAUUCCUAAUCUCAACCUAAAACACAGUUCAAUCUCCUCCACCGCCGUUCUCUGAUUUCACCUUCAUUCAACCUUCUCCUCAGAUUCGUUCAACCUUCAGCUUCAAUCUUCAAAAUCCAGGUUUUGUAGGUUCUUGUACUGCCGGAAGUGAGUCAACCAGUUUGACGUUACACAAGUUCCUUGAUAAGCAUAGCUUAUUGUUUUGCAGAAUUCUUUCCAAAGCUUUAUAAAUUUAAAUCAUGAAAGAUAAGUUGAAACAACUGAAAGGUCAAACUUACGACACAGACCCAUUGGUAUUGGAGUUCAGGGUCUUGCUGAAUCCUUCAUACUACUAGGAAUGACAUUUGAUUCACCAGAGUUUAAACUUCUUGUGAAUUGGCUGCAAAUCCCUAGGAAACAUAUAUUGGCAAUCAAAGCAAGGAGAAGCUGUGUAAGCAGCAAUGUAGUGCAGAUUGAGGCAUGUGAGAAACCAAGUCGUUUCUUCUCUGGUGCAUCCAUUGUCUCUACAAUCUCUCUCGAUUCACAACUCAUCCAUUCCCUUUAUUGUAUCAGUGUUCUUCUCCAUUGUCGACGUUUUGAUCAUAGUGUUAUUUUGUGUAAUGUGUUUAUCUUCUUGCAUUUGUAUUGUUUCAUAUUCUUACAUGAUGUAUUCAAUUUUUAACAAAAAUUUAUCAAUGAAUUUAUUUGUAAGUUUGUUAUGCUUGAUGUCAUA